CCCCAAAUGCCCCAAAAAUGCCCCAAAAUUGCCCUAAAUGCCCCAAAAAUGUCCCCAAAAUUGCCCAAAAAUACCCCAAAAAUGUCCCAAAAUGACCUCAAAAUACCCCAAAAAUGCCCCAAAAUUGCCCUAAAUGUCCCAAAAAUGUCCCCAAAUGGCCCCAAAUGCCCCAAAAAUGUCCCCAAAUGUCCCAAAAAUCCCCAAAUGUCCCAAAAAUUCCCCAAAAAUGUCCAGAAAUGUCCCAAAAAUCCCCCAAAUGUCCCAAAAAUGCCCCAAAAAUGCCCCCAAAUUUCCCCAAAUAUCCCCAAAAAUUUCCCCAAAUGCACAAAAAUGCCCCAAAAUUGCCCCAAAAAUGCCAAAAAAUUGCCCCAAAAACGCCCCAAAAUUGCCCCAAACGCCCCAAAAAAUCCCCAAAAUUCCCCAAAUUCCCGAUUUUUCCCCCGGGAAUUCCCGGGCUGUCCCCAAAAUGUCCGGAAUUGUCCCCAAAUCCAGGGAAAUCCAUCUGGGAGUUGGUGGUGGAGCAGUUCGAGGAUCUCCUGGUUCGGAUCCUGCUCUUGGCCGCCUGCAUUUCCUUCGUCCUGGCCUGGUUCGAGGAGGGCGAGGAAACCAUCACGGCCUUCGUCGAGCCCUUCGUCAUCCUCCUCAUCCUCAUCGCCAACGCCGUCGUCGGGGUCUGGCAGGUGAGGGAACGCGCGGGGAAUUCCGGGAAUUCUUCGGGAAUUUUUCGGGAAUUUUUAGGGGAUUUUUAGGGAAUUUUUUGGGGAUUUUGAAGGGAAUUUUUUGGGAUUUUUUAGGGAAUUUUUUGGGAUUUUUUGGGAUUUUUUUGGGAUUUUUUAGGGAUUUUUUAGGGAAUUUUUUUGGGAUUUUUUAGGGAAUUUUUUGGGAUUUUUUUGGGAUUUUUUAGGGAAUUUUUUGGGGGAUUUUUUUGGGAUUUUUUAGGGAAUUUUUUGGGAUUUUUUUUGGGAUUUUUUUGAGAUUUUUUGGGAUUUUUUAGGGAAUUUUUUGGGGAUUUUUUUUUUAUUUUUUAGGGAUUUUUGGGAGAUUUUUUGGGAAUUUUUUGGGAUUUUUUGGGGAUUUUUUGGGAUUUUUUAGGGAAUUUUUUGGGAUUUUUUAGGGAUUUUUUGGGAUUUUUUAGGGAAUUUUUUGGGAUUUUUGCGGAUUUUUUGGGGAUUUUUUUGGGGAUUUUUUGGGAUUUUUUGGGGAUUUUUUGGGAUUUUUUAGGGAUUUUUGGGGGAUUUUUUGGGGGGAAUUUUUGGGGAUUUUUAUGGAAUAUUUUUGGGAUUUUGGGGAAUUUUGGGGGGGAAUUUUUUUGGGAAUUUUUUGGAUUUUUUGGGGAAUUUUUGGGGAUUUUGGGGGAUUUUUUAGGGAAUUUUUUGGGGAUUUUUUCGGGAUUUUUUGGGAUUUUUUAGGGAUUUUUUUUUUAUUUUUUAGGGAUUUGGGGGGAUUUGGGGGGGAUUUGGGGGGAAUUUUUUGGGAAUUUUUGGGGAAUUUUUGGGGAAUUUUGGGGGGAUUUUGGGGGGGUUUUGGGGGGGUCU
rnacentral:lncRNA from 1 species